CUGCAAUGAUGUGUGAAUUUCUUCACCUGAACCCACACGUGAAGAUAGAAAAUAUACGAGCUUUUUAACCCUGAGCAAC